AUUGAACGCUGGCGGCAUGCCUUACACAUGCAAGUCGAACGGUAACGCGGGGCAACCUGGCGACGAGUGGCGAACGGGUGAGUAAUGUAUCGGAACGUGCCCAGUUGUGGGGGAUAACUGCUCGAAAGAGCAGCUAAUACCGCAUACGACCUGAGGGUGAAAGCGGGGGAUCGCAAGACCUCGCGCAAUUGGAGCGGCCGAUAGCAGAUUAGGUAGUUGGUGAGGUAAAGGCGCACCAAGCCGACGAUCUGUAGCUGGUCUGAGAGGACGACCAGCCACACUGGGACUGAGACACGGCCCAGACUCCUACGGGAGGCAGCAGUGGGGAAUUUUGGACAAUGGACGCAAGUCUGAUCCAGCCAUGCCGCGUGCGGGAAGAAGGCCUUCGGGUUGUAAACCGCUUUUGUCAGGGAAGAAACGCUCUGGGUUAAUACCUCGGGGUAAUGACGGUACCUGAAGAAUAAGCACCGGCUAACUACGUGCCAGCAGCCGCCGUAAUAC
rnacentral:rRNA from 1 species